rnacentral:rRNA from 1 species
GACAGAGGGUGCAAACGUUGUUCGGAAUUACUGGGCGUAAAGCGUGUGUAGGCGGCCAUAUAAGUCGGAUGUGAAAGCCCUGGGCUCAACCCAGGAAGUGCACUCGAUACUGUAUGGCUAGAGUACUGGAGAGGUUGGUGGAAUUCUCGGUGUAGAGGUGAAAUUCGUAGAUAUCGAGAGGAGCACCGGUGGCGAAGGCGGCCAACUGGACAGAUACUGACGCUGAGACACGAAAGCGUGGGGAGCAAACAGG